rnacentral:lncRNA from 1 species
GUUGUAGGUUGGGUGAGGAUGGAGGUUGUAGGUUGGGUGAGGGUGGAGGUUGUAGGCUGGGUGAGGGUGGAGGUUGUAGGUAGGGUGAGGGUGGAGGUUGUAGGCUGAGUGAGGGUGGAGGUUGUAGGUUGGGUGAGGAUGGAGGUUGUAGGUUGGGUGAGGUUGUAGAUUAUAGGCUGAGUGAGGGUGGAGGUUGUAGAUUGGGUGAGGGUGAAGGUUGUUGACUGGGUAAGGGUAGAGGUUGUAGGUUGUGUGAGGAUGGAGAUUGUUGGCUGGAUGAGGGUGGAGGUUGUAGGUUGGGUGAGGUUGGAGGUUGUAGGCUGGGUGAGGGUGGAGGUUGUAGGUUGGGUGAGGUUGUAGAUUAUAGGCUGAGUGAGGGUGGAGGUUGUUGUCUGGGUGAGGGUGGAG